UACAUAAUCGUAAAUUUUCAUGGCUAGCUAAAAAUAACUUUUUAACUAAAAUGUUUUGAAAUUUUCGUUUGUUGCAAGAUAUUUCGCAUAAAAACGCGUACCCCAGCUAAACUGCUCCCGUACCCCUGGGGGUACGCGCUCCACAUUUUGGGAAACACUGCUGUAAUGGAAUUAUUGCAUGAUUAACUAUACUUUUUUAAAUAAUUAAUAUGUUGUGAAAGACAAAAUUCUUUUAAUAUUUAUUUAUGAAAAUGAUAGUGAGUGUCACGGCUCGUGAAUUCAAACCCGUCUCUACUUUAACAGAGGUACACUUUUUUGUUAAAGAAGUUUUUCAUGAUUUUAACGUUAUUCAUUAUGAAUAUUUGUUAAUUCUUCCCAUUUUUUGUAAAUAUUUUUCCUUCUUGUAAUUUUCGUUUCCCUACUUGUAAAUAUGUCUUGAACUUUUCUAUACAUUCAAUUAUUUGUUACUUAUUACCAUGGCAAAGUGCCAUUCUUUUUUCUCUACCUUGAUCUGUGACAUUAUUUGUUGCAUUUUAUGUAAUCUGUCUAUUGUUUUUGCAUAUGUUCUCAUUACAGGAUGAAUGAGAAAAGGGCCAUUAUUGGCCUCAGGAGCCCAUCUAGGCCAACCAGAUCAUAAAAUAGAAUUUGUAACUUUAAAUUGAAAGUUAUAAAAAGAAUUUUGUAGCUUCUUAAUUAGAACAUUAACAGCACUAUUGAAACUUCCUAAGAAUUGCACGAACAUUGCCCAGGCCUCUCAGUAAUCCACCAAAAUCAUUUUAGUGGUAGCAAAAUUUGUAUCGUGCAUUAUGUUCCUUGUUUUAGAAAGUUUAUCGUAAAACAAUCACGAUUAAAGGAAUAAUUCUUAAUCUCAAAUACAUGGAUAUUCCGGUUGAAAGGAAAAGUUGUUGCUCAUUCAGAGAAACUUUCAUUUGCCUUAAAGGGUUCUUUACCACACCACGUGAAUAUUUUUGGUAAACCAAUUGAAACAUAAUGCUUGUAAAUAAAUUUACAACACGGCAAACUGAAACAUCAAGCUCAUAAGUAAAUCUAACUUCACGGCAAGUUGAAACAUCUAGCUCUUACAUCUACUAAACGAGAAUAUAAUUUACCUUAUUUGUAAGAAUUGUGAGCUACUUUUUUUUAUAAUAUAAAUGAUAAUAUUUAUUAAUUUUGCUUAAAAAUUUUUUGUUGCAGAAUAUCAACGAUUUAAUAUCAUAGUAACAAUAAUAGCUAAAGCUGGUGUAAGUAUAGCGUACAAUGCUUUGUACGCUUUUUGUCCAGAGUUACCAGAUUUACUCCCAGUUCCACUCAAGUCUUUGGGCAUAAAACUUAGUUUUUUUGCAGGAACUUUUGCAGCGUGCUUUUCUUCGUAUAUUGUAUUUCUGAACCAGUUUGGUGGAUUCGUACCUUUUUAUGUAUUCGGUAGUCUUAUGGUCAUCGCAGUCUUAUGCGCCCUAUUUCUUCCUGAAACGGAUGGUCAAAAAAUUCCUAAAACUGUGGAAGAGGCUGAAGAGUUUGAAAAAAAUUACAAUCCUUGUACUUGUGAAUGUAUUAAUUGGAGACAAAUUAGAAGACCAAAUACUGAUGAACCACAUUCUGAUCAUUUACAUUCUGAUGAAUUACAUUCUGAGAACUCAUAUUCUGAUAAAUCAGAUUCAGGUAAACAUACAUUAGCGUCUCCUCCCACUAUAAUGUUUGGACAACUGUGAAAAAACUAGCAAUCAUAAGGAAGAAAAACAAACGCUCAACAACAACGCACCAACCAUAUGACCAACAAACAAUUGCUCAUGUACAGAUGAAAUUUAAUACAAAUUGAUCCGAGAAAUUUACUUGAAUAUUUUUCUCUUCGUAAAAUAAGAAAACACAGAAAUGAAUAUGUACAUUUAUGAAAACUAACUUAAAAUGAAUUGUUCUUUCUAUGACGACUAAAUAUCACUGUUUAUGUAUCCUACUUAUCAUCAAAAUCCUAUUUCAUGUUCAUUGGUUUUACAGAGGAAUGUUGGAAGAAUUUUAUCUUAUUUGCAGAAUUUUUCUUG
rnacentral:misc_RNA from 1 species